rnacentral:lncRNA from 10 species
GAGAGGGCAAGAAACACAUACCAGCCUCUGGAUUGCUAAACUCCUUCCUUCAGAUUUAAUGAUCUUUCUCUAGUCUCUGGUCUAGUAUAGUUUGGGAAAGAACUCCUUGUGUGUGAUCAUGUUUGUUUGCUUGUUUUUCUCAAAUCUUGUUGUCUUAUACCUGAGAACCACUUCGAAUCUAAAAGAUAAACAUAUACCUAGUUCCUUCCUGAAAUACCAGAAAUUGCAAGCUUGUCAAAUUGUGAUUAAUGAGGAUUUACUGGAUAUCAACAUAUGAGUCUUCGGAUAUCGUCCUUCUGCCUGCUGAAAAUCAUGGAAUUAAAAAGAUAUAGAGUCCAUUCUGAGAAAUUCAAUUUCAUCAAAUGGAAAGUGAAAGCAUCUCCAAUUCUAUAUAUACACUGAAGCCUUCAUGCCCCAUUUACACUACUUGUAUCGAAUCCCGUAAUAGGUUUCUGCCUAUUGAGUCCAAAUAAAUGGUGGUUAUCAAAAUGUUCUAUUUUUAACUGAUCUUUUAAGUUGCUUUCUCUUUAGUAUUUUUCCUGAUAAAAUAUCCUAAUUCCUUAAGGCUGUUAAUUAAUUGAUGUGCUUUCCCCUAAAUAAUAGUAUAGUUCAUUUAAAGGUAGGAGCCAGAAACAGAAACAUUCAGCAAUCUUUAAGAUGUUUUUUUUUUUUUUUUUUUUUUUUUGACAAAAAGAGUUCUAUCUACAGGUAAGAUAGAGGGCCCCGGAAAAUAAUAUAGCCCCAGCGGAGAUUUUUCCACUGGAGCACACAUCUCUUACCUGUUUGUUAUCCUCUAAAUAUACUGUGCAUAUUCACACUCAGUGCCUUUUUAAAAAAUGAAGCUGUUCGUCUACAUAAAAAUGGCUUUUCCAAGACUAUUCACCUAGUGUAUAUAACUCAUUCUCUAAUUCUUAACUCCAACGUCACUUUAGUGACCGGAAAUCACAUGUCAGAGAGAAAUAAAUAUUCUGCCUUUGUAUUUCCAUAGCACACACCUCCAACAUAGCAGUAUCACAUACAAUUAAUUUGUAUGUCCAUUUCCUUCACUACAAGAAGUGCCCUAUAGAAUAUUAUUUGUCCUGUAUCUGUCACAGGAGUUAAUGUAUUUUCUAGGACAUAGCAAGUACU